CUUUCUCCGCCGGCGACCGGCGCACGGGUGAGUAACACGUAUGCAACCUGCCCCUGUCAGGGGGACAACCCGCCGAAAGGCGGGCUAAACCCGCGUACAUGCCACCGGGGCAUCCCGGAGGCAGGAAAGGCUUCGGCCGGACAGGGAUGGGCAUGCGGCGCAUUAGGCAGUAGGCGGGGUAACGGCCCACCUAACCGACGAUGCGUAGGGGUUCUGAGAGGAAGGUCCCCCACACUGGUACCGAGACACGGACCAGACUCCUACGGGAGGCAGCAG
rnacentral:rRNA from 1 species